rnacentral:rRNA from 1 species
GACGAACGCUGGCGGCGUGCCUAAUACAUGCAAGUCGAGCGAAGUUUUUCUGGUGCUUGCACCGGAAAAACUUAGCGGCGAACGGGUGAGUAACACGUAAAGAACCUGCCUCAUAGACUGGGACAACUAUUGGAAACGAUAGCUAGUACCGGAUAACAGCAUUAACUGCAUGGUUGAUGUUUAAAAGUUGGUUUUGCUAACACUAUGAGAUGGCUUUGCGGUGCAUUAGCUAGUUGGUGGGGUAAAGGCCUACCAAGGCGACGAUGCAUAGCCGACCUGAGAGGGUGAUCGGCCACACUGGGACUGAGACACGGCCCAGACUCCUACGGGAGGCAGCAGUAGGGAAUCUUCCGCAAUGGGCGAAAGCCUGACGGAGCAACGCCGCGUGAGUGAAGAAGGAUUUCGGUUCGUAAAGCUCUGUUGUUAGGGAAGAAUGAGUGUGUAGUAACUAUACACAGUAGAGACGGUACCUAACCAGAAAGCCACGGCUAACUACGUG